AUCUGUUUGAGGGCCGACGGUGUGAACGUCAUCAUGAUGCUGAACAGCGACCCCGUCUGUAACAGCUGAAGUACCGCGAAAUUAGAACGCGACUCACCUCCCAUGUCGUUGUGAUGAGAGACGACGCCGUGCUCACCUUCAGGAAAUAAGGGACGAAGAAAAACUGUCUGGUCUGUCACCAGAACUCUCUGUGGCUGUAUGUAGUGAAUGAUACCUGCAGGCUGUGGAUGAGUCUCAUGGAUAAUGAUGAGAGUGGA